AUUCCUUGCACUCACUUCUGUUCUGACUUUUCUCCUCCUUCCCUCCACCCCCUCCCCUAGAUGGCAGCAGUCCUAUACAAGUUAAAUAUGUCACAGUGUAUCCUAGAUACAAUAUAUGUGUGCAGAACCGAACAGUUCUCUUGUUGCACAGGGAGAAUUGGAUUCAGAAGGUAUAAAUAACCCAGGAAGAAAAACAAAAAUGCAAGCUGUUUACAUUCAUUUCCCAGUGUUCUUUCUUUGGGUGUAGCUGCUUCUGUCCAUCCUUGAUCAAUUGAAACUGAGUUAGAUCUUCUCUUUGUCAAAGAAAUCUACUUCCAUCAGAAUACAUCCUCAUACAGUGUCGUUGUUGAAGUGUAUAAUGAUCACCUGGUUCUGUUCAUUUCACUUAGCAUCAGUUCAUGUAAGUCUCUAGAGCCAGGACUUUCUGAAAUCAUCCUGCUGGUCAUUUCUUACCAAACAAUAAUAUUAUAUAACAUUCAUAUACCACAAUUUAUUCAGCCAUUCUCCAAUUUUUUUUUAUUUUUUUAUUUAAUGAUUACUUUAUAAUGACAACAUUAUUCCUUGCACUCGUUUCUUUUCUGAUUUUUUUUUUCCCUCUCCCUCCCUCCACCCCCUCCCCUAGAUGGCAAGCAGUCCUUUAUAUGUUGGAUAUGUUGCAGUAUAUCCUAGAUACAAUAUAUGUUUGCAGAACCGAACAGUUCUCUUGUUGCAUAGGGAGAACUGGAUUCAGAAGGUAUAAAUAACCCGGGAAGAAAAACUAAAAUGCAGAUAGUUCACAUUUGUUUCCCAGUGUUCUUUCUUUGGGUGUAGCUGCUUAUGUCCGUCAUUUAUCAAUUGAAACUUAGUUAGGUCUCUUUGUCAAAGAAAUCCACUUCCAUCAAAAUAUGUCCUCAUACAAUAUCGUUGUCGAAGUGUAUAAUGAUCUCCUGGUUCUGCUCAUUUCACUUAGCAUCAGUUCAUGUAAGUCUCGUCAGUCCUCUCUGUAUUCAUCCUGCUGGUCAUUUCUUACAGAACAAUAAUAUUCCAUAACAUUCAUAUACCACAAUUUACCCAGCCAUUCUCCAAUUGAUGGGCAUCAAUUCAUUUUCCAGUUUCUAGCCACUACAAACAGGGCUGCUACAAACAUUUUGGCACAUACAGGUCCCUUUCCCUUCUUUAGUAUUUCUUUGGGAUAUAAGCCCAAUAGAAACACUGCUGGAUCAAAGGAUAUGCACAAUUUGAUAAUUUUUUGGGCAUAAUUCCAGAUUGCUCUCCAGAAUGGUUGGAUUCGUUCACAACUCCACCAACAAUGCAUUAGUGUCCCAGUUUUCCCGCAUCCCCUCCAACAUUCAUCAUUAUUUUUUCCUGUCAUCUUAGCCAAUCUGACAGGUGUGUAGUGGUAUCUCAGAGUUGUCUUAAUUUGCAUUUCUCUGAUCAAUAAUGAUUUGGAACACUCUUUCAUAUGAGUGGUAAUAGUUUCAAUCUCAUCCUCUGAAAAUUGUCUGUUCAUAUCCUUUGACCAUUUAUCAAUUGGAGAAUGGCUUGAUUUCUUAUAAAUUUGAGUCAGUUCUCUAUAUAUUUUGGAAAUGAGGCCUUUAUCAGAACCUUUAACUGUGAAAAUGUUUUCCCAGUUUGUUGCUUCCCUUCUAAUCUUGUUUGCAUUAGUUUUAUUUGUACAAAGGCUUUUUAAUUUGAUGUAAUCGAAAUUUUCUAUUCUGUGAUCAGUAAUGGUCUCUAGUUCAUUUUUGGUCACAAAUUUCUUUCUCCUCCACAAGUCUGAGAGAUAAACUAUUCUAUGUUCCUCUAAUUUAUUUAUAAUCUCGUUCUUUAUGCCUAGGUCAUAGACCCAUUUUGAUCUUAUCUUGGUAUAUGGUGUUAAGUGUGGGUCCAUGCCUAAUUUCUGCCAUCCUAAUUUCCAAUUAUCCCAGCAGUUUUUAUCAAAUAAUGAAUUCUUUUCCCAGAAGUUAGGGGCUUUGGGUUUGUCAAACACUAGAUUGCUAUAAUUGACUAUUCUGUCUUGUGAGCCUAGCCUUUUCCACUGAUCCACUAAUCUAUUUCUUAGCCAAUACCAAAUGGUUUUGGUGACUGCUGCUUUAUAAUAUAAUUUUAGAUCAGGUACAGCUAGGCCACCUUCAUUUGAUUUUUUUUUUCAUUAAUUCCCUUGAGAUUCUCGACUUUUUAUUGUUCCAUAUGAAUUUUGUUGUUAUUUUUUCUAGAUCAAUAAAACAUUUAUUUGUUUUGCAAA